GAUCAUCUGGUAGACCAGGCAGAAGAGGUGACUGCACUCUUGACCUCUCUCUCCGGGAGUUUUUAGUCUUGUGUGCGUGAGGAUUAAUGUCCGGCUGGAUGCAAAUUUUUGAUCCUGAGACAAACUUUCUUGCCCCUACUACUGUCUUAAACCCUGAGUCAACCUUGCAAUAGCAUGACACGGAAUCAACCAGUGGAGCUUGAACUCUAAAACCCCUUUGUGCAUUUGGAGACCUCUCAAUUGUUUGGUCCAUUUUUGAAAUGAAAAUUUCAUACACAAAGAUUCUGGU
rnacentral:misc_RNA from 1 species